GGAAGAAUGAGUGUCCAGGGAGAGCUGAAACCAUGAGCUGAGGGAAUCCUGAUUAAUACAGUAUUGACAAGAAUAAAGGCUAAAUGAAGACAGAAAGAGAACCUGAAAGUUCAGGGUUGAAAAAGUGGACUAGAGAAGAAAUAAAUUGAAGCCUGGGAAGCCAAGACAUAAGGGAUAAGUACAGGAAUUGUGUAGGAGGAUACAGAAUGGACAGUGUGGAUUGACAAGGUCUAAGUGGGCACAGAGAAGUUCAACAGCAGUCUCAAGGUCAUCGUGGAGCUAUGAUUCAAAUCAAGAUGCUCUUCUGCAGAAUUUUUGAUCCUAACCAGUACUUUUUGGUCUGAUCACCACACUUAGUCUUCUGGUUAUUAUACUGCUAGAAUCCCAAAGCCUGGCUGUGUCCUAGGAAUAUACAAAUUAGCCAUUCUUGACCUUUCCAAAUACCAAAUGAAUUUUAACAAGAUUUUAUAUAAAACCGAC
ensembl:lncRNA